rnacentral:rRNA from 1 species
UACGAAGGGGGCUAGCGUUGUUCGGAAUUACUGGGCGUAAAGCGCGCGCAGGCGGUCGGCACAGUCAGAUGUGAAAUUCCCGGGCUCACCCUGGGGACUGCAUUUGAUACGUGUUGACUAGAGUGAGGAAGAGGGUCGUGGAAUUCCCAGUGUAGAGGUGAAAUGCGUAGAUAUUGGGAAGAACACCGGUGGCGAAGGCGGCGACCUGGUCCUUUACUGACGCUGAGGCGCGAAAGCGUGGGGAGCAAACAGG